UAACAUUCGCGUGGGUUUUAAAGUGCAUUGUCAAGUGGAGCGGCUUUGCCAUGUUCUUCCUGUGUCACCUCUGACUUCCGCCUCCCGGUUGUAAGAUGCUGCACACUGUGUAAUCUAUCAGGUUAUAGAUAAGGCCUGGAGACAUGUGGAGAGCCACACGCCUGGAGACAUGUGGAGAGCCAUGCCCCUGGAGACCUGUGGAGAGCCACGCCCCUGGAGACCUGUGGAGAGCCACGCCCCUGGCUGUGCUGAAGUCAGGCCUUGUCUUCACGUGUGCCUGAUGUCCUCGGCUCCACCCCAGCACACAAACCCUGCACUUGAUGGGUCAGCUGGUACCACCCAGAUGGAUAAACUGGCUCAUCUCAUCGUGUGGCCCCACCCAGGAACUGACUCUGCAAGAAGAGAGCUCCACCUCCCUAUGAC